GCCGCCGUAGCUCAGCCUGGCAGAGCGCCGGGCCCAUAACCCGGUGGCCCGGGGUUCGAAUCCCCGCGGCGGCACCA
rnacentral:tRNA from 1 species